UACGGAGGGUGCAAGCGUUAUCCGGAUUUACUGGGUUUAAAGGGUGCGUAGGUGGGUCUGUAAGUCAGUGGUGAAAUCUCCGAGCUUAACUCGGAAACUGCCAUUGAUACUAUAGGUCUUGAAUUAUCUGGAGGUAAGCGGAAUAUGUCAUGUAGCGGUGAAAUGCUUAGAUAUGACAUAGAACACCAAUUGCGAAGGCAGCUGGCUACGCAUAUAUUGACACUGAGGCACGAAAGCGUGGGGAUCAAACAGG
rnacentral:rRNA from 1 species